GCUUUGGUGGCUCAGUCAGUUAAGCAUCUGACUUCAGCUCAGAUCAUGAUCUCACAGUUCGUGGGUUCGAGCCCCAUGUCGGGCU
rnacentral:tRNA from 1 species